rnacentral:ncRNA from 2 species
UUCUUAUCAAGAGAGGUGGAGGGAAAGGCCCAAUGAAACCCAGCAACACUAGCAUGAGCUAGAAUGUGCUAAAUCCUGCAGCCUAUGGCUGAAAGAUAAGAA